AUUGAACGCUGGCGGCAUGCCUUACACAUGCAAGUCGAACGGCAGCACGGGAGCAAUCCUGGUGGCGAGUGGCGAACGGGUGAGUAAAGUAUCGGAACGUGCCCAGUCGUGGGGGAUAACGUAGCGAAAGUUACGCUAAUACCGCAUAUUCUCUGAGGAGGAAAGCAGGGGACCUUCGGGCCUUGCGCUAAUAGAGCGGCUGAUAUCAGAUUAGCUAGUUGGUGAGGUAAAGGCUCACCAAGGCGACGAUCUGUAGCGGGUCUGAGAGGAUGAUCCGCCACAAUGGAACUGAGACACGGUCCAGACUCCUACGGGAGGCAGCAGUGGGGAAUUUUGGACAAUGGGGGCAACCCUGAUCCAGCCAUGCCGCGUGAGUGAAGAAGGCCUUCGGGUUGUAAAGCUCUUUCGGCCGGGAAAAAAUCGCAUGGGUUAAUACCCUGUGUGGAUGAUGGUACCGGAAUAAGAAGCACCGGCUAACUACGUGCCAGCCGCCGCAGUAA
rnacentral:rRNA from 1 species